rnacentral:rRNA from 1 species
UACAUGGGGUGCAAACGUUGCUCGGAAUUAUUGGGCGUAAAGCGCACGUAGGCGGUUCGUUUAAGUCGGAUGUGAAAGCCCUCGGCUCAACUGAGGAAGUGCACCCGAAACUGGCGAGCUUGAGUACGAAAGAGGAUCGCGGAAUUCCCGGUGUAGAGGUGAAAUUCGUAGAUAUCGGGAGGAACACCAGUGGCGAAGGCGGCGACCUGGGCCAAUAUUGACGCUGAGGUGCGAAAGCGUGGGGAGCAAACAGG